UAGGGAAUCUUCGGCAAUGGGGGCAACCCUGACCGAGCAACGCCGCGUGAGUGAAGAAGGUUUUCGGAUCGUAAAGCUCUGUUGUAAGUCAAGAACGAGUGUGAGAGUGGAAAGUUCACACUGUGACGGUAGCUUACCAGAAAGGGACGGCUAACUACGUGCCAGCAGCCGCGGUAAUACGUAGGUCCCGAGCGUUGUCCGGAUUUAUUGGGCGUAAAGCGAGCGCAGGCGGUUUGAUAAGUCUGAAGUUAAAGGCUGUGGCUCAACCAUAGUUCGCUUUGGAAACUGUCAAACUUGAGUGCAGAAGGGGAGAGUGGAACUCCAUGUGUAGCGGUGAAAUGCGUAGAUAUAUGGAGGAACACCGGUGGCGAAAGCGGCUCUCUGGUCUGUAACUGACGCUGAGGCUCGAAAGCGUGGGGAGCGAACAGGAUUAGAUACCCUGGUAGUCCACGCCGUAAACGAUGAGUGCUAGGUGUUGGAUCCUUUCCGGGAUUCAGUGCCGCAGCUAACGCAUUAAGCACUCCGCCUGGGGAGUACGACCGCAAGGUUG
rnacentral:rRNA from 1 species